UACGUAGGUGGCAAGCGUUGUCCGGAUUUACUGGGCGUAAAGGGCGUGCAGGCGGUCUGUUAAGUCUAGGGUGAAAGCUCCCGGCUCAACUGGGAGAGGUCCUUGGAUACUGGCGGACUUGAGGGAGGCAGAGGAGUAUGGAAUUCCCGGUGUAGUGGUGAUAUGCGUAGAUAUCAGGAGGAACACCGGUGGCGAAGGCGGGUCUCUGGGCCGAUACUGACGCUGAGGAGCGAAAGCGUGGGGAGCGAACAGG
rnacentral:rRNA from 1 species